GGAGUUUUGAGUUUGUGGAGGAGUGGAGAGAGACACGGGACUGGAGGUGGGCAGGAACAGUGACUGACCCAGAGGAAGCUGAAUGGGUACCAGGUACGAGUCAGUCCGAGGCAGUAGAGGCUUCAUCUUCCUCUCUGAGAGCAAAAAGACCAUCAGAAAACAGUCUCACACCAUAACACUCUGUGAUUUGACCAAACACUCACCUGUGCCACCCAAUGCAGGAACAAAUCAAGAGAUGAUCUGAAGCUGACGGCAUCCUUCUGUCUGUCCCUGAAAUAAAAUAACUGUAAGGAGAGAAGCUGCUGUCUGUCUUACACCCUGUGCUUCUGCCAUGAGAAGAGGAAUUAGCGUAGCUUACUUGAUGGAUAGCAACUUGUGGGAUCUGAGGGCAAGUGGGGGUCAACGGGUCACCCAAAGGCUGUGGGAUGAGCCGGGAAAUAAGAGAUGACCACAUUUUACAAAACAGCACUGUGGGUUCAUAAUGAAGCCAUUAGGUUAUUUAUAUUAAGACUAAAGUAAGAUAUACACACCUUAUAGACUUGGUCCAGAGUGAGACAGCGGUUUGCUUCUGGUCGAAUCGUCCAAUAGGAGAUCUUGCCAUCAGGAGAUGUUUCUCGGAUGAACAUGUCAUGCAGUGACAGAUUAUGGCGUAUGGAAUUCUGAUAAAAUAGUGAAACGUACAUUGGUCAUUUUACAUUAGAAGGUUGAAACUCUGUUGGCUUUCUACACUACCUUCCAACCAGGUUUGGCGACAUCUCUGAAGUACGGAAAAUGAUCUUCGAUCCAGUUGUAAAUCUCCUUCAGGGUCAUGUGUCUGUUAUUCUUGCUGUUUAUCGC
rnacentral:lncRNA from 1 species